CGUAGGAAAACACUGCUGGCCAGACUGUCCUUUCUGCUGGAAGAGCCUCCACUGAAAAUAGUACUACUACUACUUAAAAGAAACAAACCAACAAGACCCAGUGUUUUAGAGUGCACUCAUUGAGAAGUUUGAUACGUUUUCCAAAAGAAAUUGAAGUGUUCACAGCUGGCUGGCCAACAGUGCACUCCAGCCAGGAACAACAGAAUAGGACUUUGGCUCUUUUUCUGUUGUUUUUUGGAAGCAGGGCCAUGAUUAAGAGCAAUGGCUGGGGGCAUUCAUAUUGUGCCGUUUGAACUGGAAUUCUUGAACCAGUGCAAGAUGAACUAAAGCAAAAGCAUUUGCCAAGAAUAUUUUCAUUACUUAAG
rnacentral:ncRNA from 1 species